AAAAGCCUCAUUGACACAAAUCUGAAUAUUGAAUUUCUUGAUGUUCUAAUAAGCAAUCAUGAAGUACUUCUCAAGCAUAGCGCUCUUUAUAUUUGCCCUCGUUAGUAUUCUUUGCACUAAGACGAGUGGAGAUUUAAAUCAGUGUCAUGCGUACAUCCCAUCAACCACAAAUCCUUGUGAUGCACGGAAUUGCAAUAGCCUAUGCAUUAGCAAGUUCGGUAGUGGGCCUCCACCUCCCGGUAUUCACGGACAAUUUAAAAUAGGGGAUUGUGACCCUGAUGGAAGUUGUGAUUGCAUGUUCUGUUGUGAAGAUAAACCGUGCUGAUCUCUGCUCAUGAAUUCUAUUGUAUGUCGUGAUGGAAUAAAUUGAUACAUUUCUUCUUUAA